rnacentral:rRNA from 1 species
CCUACGGGAGGCAGCAGUGGGGAAUAUUGGACAAUGGGCGAAAGCCUGAUCCAGCAAUGCCGCGUGAGUGAUGAAGGCCUUAGGGUUGUAAAGCUCUUUUACCAGGGAUGAUAAUGACAGUACCUGGAGAAUAAGCUCCGGCUAACUCCGUGCCAGCAGCCGCGGUAAUACGGAGGGAGCUAGCGUUGUUCGGAAUUACUGGGCGUAAAGCGUACGUAGGCGGUUAUUCAAGUCAGAGGUGAAAGCCUGGAGCUCAACUCCAGAACUGCCUUUGAAACUAGAUAACUAGAAUCACGGAGAGGUGAGUGGAAUUCCGAGUGUAGAGGUGAAAUUCGUAGAUAUUCGGAAGAACACCAGUGGCGAAGGCGGCUCACUGGACGUGUAUUGACGCUGAGGUACGAAAGCGUGGGGAGCAAACAGGAUUAGAUACCCUGGUAGUCCACGCCGUAAACGAUGAUAACUAGCUGCCAGGGCUCUUAGAGCUUUGGUGGCGCAGCUACGCAUUAAGUUAUCCGCCGUGGGAGGUACGGUCGCAGAUUAAACUACAANAGAGUUAGACGG